rnacentral:rRNA from 1 species
CAGUCGCCACGGGAAUACGAAGGGUGCAAGCGUUACUCGGAAUUACUGGGCGUAAAGCGUGCGUAGGCGGUUGUUAAAGUCCGUUGUGAAAGCCCUGGGCUCAACCUGGGAAUUGCAGUGGAUACUGGGUCACUAGAGUGUGGUAGAGGAUAGUGGAAUUUCCGGUGUAGCAGUGAAAUGCGUAGAGAUCGGAAGGAACAUCUGUGGCGAAGGCGACUAUCUGGGCCAACACUGACGCUGAGGCACGAAAGCGUGGGGAGCAAACAGGAUUAGAUACCCCCGUAGUCCCUGUCUCUUAUAC